rnacentral:rRNA from 1 species
CCUACGGGCGGCAGCAGUAGGGAAUAUUCCGCAAUGGGGGGAACCCUGAUCCAGCAACGCCGCGUGAGCGAAGAAGUAUUUCGGUAUGUAAAGCUCUAUCAGCAGGGAAUAAAGAGGAAGGUACCUGAAACAGAAGCCCCGGCUAACUACGUGCCAGCAGCCGCAGUAAUACGUAGGGGGCAAGCGUUAUCCGGAUAUACUGGGUGUAAAGGGAGCGUAGACGGAGAGGCAAGGCAGAGGUGAAAAACGAAGGCUCAAACAUAGUAGGGCUUAUGAAACUGUCAAACGAGAGUACGGGAGAGGUAAGAGGAACUACUAGUGUAGCGGUGAAAUGCGUAGAUAUAAGGAGGAACACCAGUGGCGAAGGCGUCUUACUGGAUCGAAACUGACGUUGAGGCGCGAAAGCGUGGGGAGCAAACAGGAUUAGAUACCCUAGUAGUC